UUGUACUUGUGUCAUACACGACCAGACAUUGCAUUUGAAGUAAGUGUUGUGAGCAGAUAUAUGCAUGAGCCUAGGAGUGAACAUCUCGAGGCAGUAUAUAGAAUCCUGAGAUACUUGAAGGGUUCUCCUGGGAAAGGAUUGAUAUACAAGAGUCAUGGACAUCUUGUCGUGGAUGGUUAUUGUGAUGCUGAUUGGGCCAGCUGUCUGGAUGACAGGAGAUCAACCUCAGGCCAUUGUGUUUUCGUAGGAGGAAAUCUAGUGUCUUGGAGAAGCAAGAAACAACCCGUUGUUUCCAAAUCAACCGCAGAGGCUGAAUACAGAGCCAUGUCUCAGGGAUUGAGUGAGUUGUUAUGGACAAGAAAUCUAUUAGGAGAGUUGAAGAUAUUGAAGACCAGUUGUAUGAAUGUAUGGUGCGACAACAAGUCGGCAAUUAGCAUAGCAAACAACCCAAUUCAACAUGAUAGAACCAAACAUGUGGAGAUUGACAGAUUCUUUAUCAAAGAAAAACUGGAUGCUGGGAUUAUCAAGAUA
rnacentral:rRNA from 1 species